AUUGAACGCUAGCGGGAUGCCUUACACAUGCAAGUCGAACGGAGCGGCGAACGGGUGAGUAAUGUCUAGGAACGUGCCCAGUAGCGGGGGAUAACUACCCGAAAGGGUCGCUAAUACCGCAUACUAUUGGAGCGGCCGAUGUCGGAUUAGCUAGUUGGUGGGGUAAAGGCCUACCAAGGCGACGAUCCGUAGCUGGUCUGAGAGGAUGACCAGCCACACUGGAACUGAGACACGGUCCAGACUCCUACGGGAGGCAGCAGUGGGGAAUAUUGGACAAUGGGGGAAAGCCUGAUCCAGCCAUCCCGCGUGUGUGAAGAAGGCCUUCGGAUUGUAAAGCACUUUAGGUUGGGAGGCGGUACCUGCAGAAUAAGCACCGGCUAACUACAUGCCAGCCGCCGCGGUAAUUC
rnacentral:rRNA from 1 species